rnacentral:rRNA from 1 species
GUUCAGCCGUAAACUUUAACCUACAUAAUAAUCGCCAGGGAACUACGAGCAAAGCUUAAAACCCAAUGGACUUGACGGUACCCCAUAUCCCCCUAGAGGAGCCUGUCCUAUAAUCGAUAACCCCCGCUAAACCUCACCAUUUUUAGUUAAUCAGCCUGUAUACCUCCGUCGUCAGCUUACCACGUGAGCGAACCAUAGUGAGCUUAAUGACAUUUCGCCAAAACGUCAGGUCAAGGUGCAGUAAAUAAAAUGGAAAGUGAUGGGCUACACUUUCUAGAAUAGAAAAUACAAAAGACUACUUAUGAAACCUAGUCAGAAGGCGGAUUUAGCAGUAAAAAGAAACUAGAGUGUUCUUUUAAACCCGGCACUGGGGUGUGUACACACCGCCCGUCACCCUCCUCAAAGCCAAAAAACAGUAUUUAACUACCUUAUGCAUUAUAGAAGAGGCAAGUCGUAACAUGGUAAGUAUACCGGAAGGUGUGCUUGGAUCAA